rnacentral:rRNA from 1 species
CCUACGGGUGGCAGCAGUGGGGAAUAUUGCACAAUGGGGGAAACCCUGAUCCAGCGACGCCGCGUGAGUGAAGAAGUAUUUCGGUAUGUUAAGCUCUAUCAGCAGGGAAGAAGAAAGACGGUCCCUGACUAAGAAGCCCCGGGUAACUACGUGCCGGCAGCCGCGGUAAUACGUAGGGGACAAGCGUUAUCCGGAUUUACUGGGUGUAAAGGGGACGUAGACGGCUGUGCAAGUCUGAAGGUAAAGCCCAGGGCUCAACCCUGGGAGUGCUGUGGAAACUGUGGAGCUAGAGUGCUAGAGAGGUAAGUGGAAUGCCUAGUGUAGCGGUGAAAUCCGUAGAUAUCUGGAGGAACAUCAGUGGCGAAGGCGACUAUCUGGCACAUAACUGACGCUGAGGAGCGAAAGCGUGGGUAGCAAACAGGAUUAGAUACCCGGGUAGUC